AAGCCCCAGUAAACGGCGGCCGUAACUAUAACGGUCCUAAGGUAGCGAAAUUCCUUGUCAGGUAAGUUCUGACCCGCACGAAAGGCGUAACGAUUUGGGCGCUGUCUCAGCUGUAGACUCGGUGAAGUCUUAGUACCUGUGAAGAUGCAGGUUACCCGCGACUAGACGGAAAGACCCCAUGGAGCUUCACUGCAGGUUGAUAUUGGGAUUUGAUGCAGCAUGUACAGGAUAGGUAGGAGGCAAAGAGAUGGAUACGCCAGUAUUCAAGGAGCCGCUGUUGGGAUACUACCCCUGUUGUAUUGGAUUUCUAACCGGACGACGUAGAGCCGUUGACGGGACAGUGUCAGUCGGGCAGUUUGACUGGGGCGGUCGCCUCCCAAAGAGUAACGGAGGCGCCCAAAGAUACCCUCAGCUUGGAUGGAAACCAAGCGCAGAGUGCAAAGGCAAAAGGGUGUUUGACUGCGAGACCCACAAGUCGAGCAGGGACGAAAGUCGGGCUUAGUGAUCCGGCGGUGCUGAAUGGAAAGGCCGUCGCUCAACGGAUAAAAGCUACCCUGGGGAUAACAGGCUGAUCUCCCCCAAGAGUCCACAUCGACGGGGAGGUUUGGCACCUCGAUGUCGGCUCAUCGCAUCCUGGGGCUGAAGUAGGUCCCAAGGGUUGGGCUGUUCGCCCAUUAAAGCGGUACGCGAGCUGGGUUCAGAACGUCGUGAGACAGUUCGGUCCCUAUCUGUCGUGGGCGCAGGAAAUUUGAGAAGAGCUGUCCUCAGUACGAGAGGACCGGGAUGGACGCAUCAAUGGUGGACCAGUUGUCACGCCAGUGGCAUAGCUGGGUAGCUAAAUGCGGAAGGGAUAAACGCUGAAGGCAUCUAAGUGUGAAACCCACUUCAAGAUGAGAUUUCCCAUUGCGCAAGCAAGUAAGACCCCUUAAAGACGAUAAGGUAGAUAGGUCAGGAGUGUAAGCAUGGUGACAUGUUAAGCGGACUGAUACUAAUAGGUCGAGGGCUUGACCGA
rnacentral:rRNA from 1 species